rnacentral:lncRNA from 7 species
GGAGAGGCGUCGGCGCGUCACGUGGUGGCGGUGUGGUGUGCAUGCGCUGUGAGGUUGGUGAGGCACUGGCACAGCUGCCCCAAGAGGCUGUGGAUGCCCCAUCCCUGGAGGCGUUCAAGGCCGGGCUGCGUUGUCAUCUGAAAGCUGUGAAGAAAACUGUCUAACUCCAGUGUGGUGUUAGAGAGUGACCUUCCUCGUGAUACGUACUGGGCAAGUUGACGAAUGAGGUGCUCGUGUGGGAACAGUGAAGACAGGCUGCUCCAAAAGGGUGGUGAGCUGGGAGUGGAGCCAUGUGGAAAUGAACAAAGCCACUAAGGAAGAACAUGUCAAGAUGAGAAAAAAUAAAUGGACAGCAGAAACUGGUGUAAUCUCAGGGCCAAAAUCUCUUACUCCAAGUUUUGAAAUGAGUAUUGGUAGAAGUUGGCUCCUCUUGAAAUCUGAGAAAUUAAAUUCAAAUCAUUUAAAUGAAACGGGCAGUCUGUAACAUAAACUGGGAGCUUAAUACAAAUGAAACCACCAUAACGUGUUGUGUCUCAUCUAAACACAUUAUUAUUCUCAAAGGCCUCUAUAAACAUUAAUAACUGAAUGAUGUUUUAACCUCUGAUUCACAAACAGAGGAUAAAAUUAAAAAUGGAAAAGGAUUAUACUUUUUUCUAAAUUGCAUUUUACUUGUGAGUUUGAUAGGGGGACAAUUGGCCUAGCAUAAACAGUAUCAUAUUUGUCGUGGCUUUUAAAGUGCAUCCAAUUAUAAUUUGAGUGAUAAACUAAUGCUGCUAACCAGGUUAGUGCAGCCCAGCUGGGCCCUGAAAUGUUUUAGUGAACACUGCUUGCUUAAUCCAAUAAUCUCUAAUCCAUAGCGUGGGAGAAAUGUUUCCAUCAGGAAGCUGAAGUAGUAAAUGUAUCAUGUCGUUUAGAAGAUUAUAGCCAGGCCUGCCUCUGCAGUCUGGUCUCAGAAGGACACUCUGUACCAAUUAUGUCCAGCUCUCUGCUAGGCUGAGACCAAAUCUCAGGAUAUUUGCAGCAGAGUGCUGUUCUGUCACCUCGGCACUGGGGUCGGAUUAAUUCCCCUUUUGUCACGCUAGUGUUAAUAACUUCUUACAUACGUCAGUAAAUGGUAACUGUUGUCCCUUGUCUUUUGCAAUUCACAAAGCAAGACUGGAAUAAAAGUUCUGAAU